rnacentral:lncRNA from 1 species
UCAAAAUCUGGGCUGGAUUAGAUUUCUCUGCACCUUCUUGUAUGAUUUUUUUUUAAAAAUUGAUUUUCAAGGAUGUGGAGUAUGGGCAGAGGAGGAAAGACAUAGGAAUGGAGAAAGACAUGUCUUAAGUCUGAAAAAUAUGAUACGCACACCAGAAAAUGUGGAAACGGAGUACAUUUUGAAGGACAGACAGGAAAGGGCGUGGUCAGCUGUCCUCAGCGCUGGAGGCCGGGGAGUGAUUGUCUGGGUGCUGUCUCACUGCCUUCCUCCAACACUGCACACUCUCUCUCCUGCUGCUUUUAAUAGAGGACUGAUUUCAGGGAGAAAUGCUUCCCUGAUGGAAAGGAGGAAGACGUGACAUUGAAUGCCGUGUACCAGCAUUGCGGUGGGUUCUGGGGAUUGCUGGUGUGUAGGAUUCACUGCGAAGAUGGAAGCCAACGGAAAGGCAUGACGCAGUUGUCUCAAGUGGAAGUACAUGUUGCGAAAGGAGCUUGGAGAAAGAGGUGGUUAUGAGAAGCCUCUGUAAGAGUUGAUGCCGAGCCUUGAUGGGUGAGUAGGGGCCAAGCAAAGAACAGAGGGAAGCACCCUCCAGGCAGAGGACGCUGGAUGUUUGAAUGCUUGAAAGAGCAUAGUUUGCUGAGAGAAUGCAAAUAAUCUGUAUAAUACGAGGCAGGGGCUACAGUAAGGACUAGGAGAAUAAGAGGAGAAAUGGCAAAGCUGACUAGGCCAAGAGGAGAUAGUGAAGUCUAUUUAGUAUUUUUAAUGUUUUAUUGUUUCUUCAAAAGUGAAAAUUUUAUUUUUGAAAAGGAUUUAAAUAGUGUAUGAUAAUAUAUAAAAGUAAAACAAGCAAAAAUCACUUGAAAGUCUUCUCAAUCUGAGGUUACAACUGUUGAUCCUUUACUGGGCAUCUUUCUAUACUCUUUCUCUCUAUAUAUGUAAUUUCAUGCAAGUAGAAAUAUACUAUGCACAUUGUUAUGCAACUUCCGCCCAUUUUUUUGUCAAUGAUGAGAAUCUUGGACUUUAUUCUAAAGAGCAUUAGUGAUUUUCAAUGAGGAGAUAUCAUAAUAAUAUUUGUAAAUUAUGAAAAAACACACAACGGUAUUGUACAGGGUCAACUUGAGGCAGUGGUGGUGGGAACACCAAAGAGCCCAGGGAAGGAAUGAUGGUGAUAUGAGUCAGGCAAUGGUGAUGGGCUGGAAAAAGGGAGGCGUCCAGAUGGCACAGGAGUAAGCGCGGCGCGCUCUGCGAUUGUGGAGGUGGAGUUGUCAAAAGGAGGGAGGUGCUGAGGAAGAGAGACAGAGGAAGAGAAAUCGCCAGUGAUUCCCAGGUUGCUGGCUGGGAAUGUGUGGGUAUUAACCAGCAGUUUGGAAUGCCUGUGGGAUGUUCAGGUGAAGAGAGCAGGUAAGCAUUUAAAUAUACAGGACUGCAGCUCAAGGUAGAAUUCAAAACUGGAGAUAGAAUUCUGGGCAUAUCAUCAGAGGUUAAAGCUAAGAGAGCUGAGGACUGGUGACACAGGCCAAGCAGGAAACGUUGAGUGGGGACCUUGUUUUGUUCAGUGUUAUAUUCUCAGAACUGCCCCUAGCAUGUAGCAGGGGCUAAGUGUUUCUUGAAUGAGUAAUUAAAUAAUAAUAAACGUUUUUUCUAUUUCA